UGCCUGGGAAGUGUGAAGCCCGACUAAAAAUGGCUGAAAAGCUGUCCGAGGCACCCGGGAAGGUGGCCAGCCCCACCCAACGCAGACACCGACCCGCUGAAAAUACGCUGAAAAUCAGCCCAAAAGGGAGAUGCUAUUGUUCCCCUCGCCUACGCGGCAGCGAGAGACAACAUCAUCGCAACAUUUCACCCCCGAACGGCUCAGCGGAGUGCUCGGCAGCAUAAUGAGAGGAUUAAUGGCUAAGCCUGGCUCUGGGUGUGUCCGUGGGCAGGAGGCACCCAGGCGCCCAACGCCACCACCUCCAACCCUCGCCAGCCCCAGCGGGCACCAAUUCACCGUCACCCGGCUUUCCUAAAGCCCGAAAGAACUACACCAGGACCACCAAUUCAAGCUUUACUGAGCAGACUGGAAGGCACGAAUAAGCAUGGCACUGCCUGGAUCUGAAGGGUGAAACAUGCACAGAGAUCUUGGCAUCAACUACAGGACACUGCAGUGUUGGAGGAGAACUUUCCUGUGAUCAUGGAUAGAAGCAGGAAGAAAAUCAGUAAAUGGAAUUUGCUUCCCUUCCCUUCAGAGCACUGUCCAUUGGAAGCCACCUUCUCCUGUGGAUGUCACUGAAAUUAUUGCAGAUCUUAAGAUGUGUUAGUGAGGUCACAUGAAGUGCAGUGUUGAUGGCACAGCCACAAGCCAAGUUGGCUCAUCAGUAUUUGCAUGUUAAUUAGCUCAGCCAGAGAUAAUGACCAGUGUAUGUAGGAUGUGUAGGGUAAGGAGUCAGUAAAAUAGAGUUACCUGGUUGUUUUCAGCCCUUCCUAACCUCCUAUUGCUGGAAACCUCUGGUCAAGUUAACCCAUGUGUAGGGUAUUGAUGGCUGGACUGUUUCCUUCCAUCCCUCCAACCUCAGCAGGGAUCGUAGAAUCAUAAAAUCACAGAAUGGUCUGGGCUAGAAGGGACCUUAAAAUCAUCUAUUCCAAACCCCUUGUCCAUGGAGGGAGUUGCCACCCACUAGACCAGGUUUCUCAAAGCCCCAUCCAACCUGGCCUUGAACACUUCCAGGGAUGGGGCAGCCACAACAGGGAUGAUUGGAUGAGGUGCAGAGUGCAGCUCAGCAAAAGACACGAGCACCCUGCCAUGGUGUAUGGGCCACCAGGGUUGUGCUUUUUACAGGGGCACCAGAAGUCCUGCAUCAGGACUCCAACCUUACCUUGUUUCCCUCCGAAGGUCCUCCCACUUUCAUGGUGACCUGGCCUGCCUGUGCACCACUGAUGAGCUCUGAUGAGGUCAGAGUUAGCAACAUUUAAGGCUUUUUAGGUAAAUAUACUUGAAUUGGCAUAACAGUCCAUACGAGGUCACAAGUACCCACUGUUCUAACACAGGAAGGAUCACACAUAAAACUAAAUAAACUUCAGGAUUGUUGUCCCUCAACAAUCCCGCCGGAGGGAGGGGGUGGAAAUGAGCAUGGGUUUCAAAGGCUAUUUAAUGACUUAAAAUCCAAAGGCAGAGCUGAAACCACUGCUAGUUCUGCUCAAAGAGCAGUGACUUUGAAGGCACUUUGGACUGAUUACGUUUUUCGGAGCAGCGCCCUGCAUCACUCCGCGUCAACGCUCCGUGGGACACAUUGAGGGCAGCGCCAGAUCUGCAGCGUGGUGCUGUAAGAUCCUGACACUUAGCACUUUAGGAGAACAAUAGCAUUAAGGGAGAUCAUUGGGUUUUUCUUCUAAGCUAAUUUGUUCUUAGCAUUAGCAACAAAAAUAGAGAGGAUGCUAUUUUAAAAGUUGCAUUAAUAUGUCUCGAAGCUCUAAAGAGCAACGGGGAAUUUUUGCCUGAGUACUCCAAGCCAAGGGCAGCCAGCAAUUACAUUUUUGUACGGAGGCUGUCAAUAGCAGAUGGAUGGGCCAGAUCCUGGCUUUGCUUUCAUCCUUUUCACUGUCUGGUGCUCAUUCUUGCACAUUUUGUGGUCUGCAGAAUCACUCAGAGGCAGCUCAAGUGGCAAGGCCAUGAGCCGGGAGAAGCCGAUGGCUUUUUCAGGUCCAUCACUACAUCUACUGCAGGUAGAACAUAGACAGCUCCGUCCUUGUUGUCUUUUGCCCCAGGUCUUUGGUGUUUUCUCUUAGGAGAUGUAAUGCAGUGAUGAAUUACCUUUUUUUUCAGGUCUUCAGACCACAAAAGGAAUCAAUAAACUGGUAAAAAAGACAAUAUGGUAUUAAAAUGGUGCAAUUAAAGUCUGGAGCUGAAUACCCGUAACAAAAGAAGCCCCAUGUCCCAGCCUGUCACACAAUGUUCCAGUCUCCUUGCAAUUUCUUUUAUAAGUCUUGAAAUGCCUGGGUUUAUACGGUUUUUUUUUAAAUCAUCAAUCAAAAUAUUUGGAUGGUUCAUGAGGACAAGAAGUGUGAUUUUGAGAUGUGUUGCUAAGCUUCUGAUCUGCUGCCUCUUUCACUUUCUGCUCAGCAGAACUAUUCUUCGUAGCCAUUUUUGCUCAAAGUCUGAGAUUAUCAUAAGGUAUUCACCAGUAACCACGUGACAUGAGUCAAAUAAGUGUGUGAAAGAAUCAGGUGAGACACACUUUGCACUUGCUUCCCUUCCUGGCAACAAGGCGGCCCUUCCUUGAAUCCUAGUAAAUGAGCCACGUGGGGGCAAGUCCUUAGAUUUGACGCUAUUGUUAUUAAACAGUUUUGAGUUUUGAACAUCUGAUGUGUCUCAGUGGAGCUGGCACAGACCCUCUUCACAGGCCAUCCCAGAGAUGGCCGGGACUCCUGUGGUGCUGUUUGAGCUCCCUGAUUACUGCAGGUAACAGCAUGACUUACACAUAAGAAUCAGUUUUGAUUUACUCCUGGUUCUUCAGUGGGAUAACUUCUCUUUGUUGUUUAAUGUUAUUUUUGAACUGUGAGGUUCACAGAAAUAAAGGCUCUAUUCCUGCCAUUGACCUAGAAAAGUCUUUUGAUUCUUUCCAGUGGGACUACUUUUUUUUCAGUUGCUGGGAACCUUAAAAUUGUGUGUUUCUCUCCUCUGGGGGAGGUAGUGGCUACAUUUUCAUUCCUCCUUUAAGAUUCGAUCAGUAAAGCCGAAGAGACCUUAAAGCUCUGGCUGACCUCCUGCACUCCCCCAUUACAAAGGGCUCUCAUGGCAC